CCUACGGGAGGCAGCAGUGAGGAAUAUUGGUCAAUGGACGAGAGUCUGAACCAGCCAAGUAGCGUGAAGGAUGACUGCCCUAUGGGUUGUAAACUUCUUUUAUAUGGGAAUAAAACGUUCCACGUGUGGGAUUUUGUAUGUACCAUAUGAAUAAGGAUCGGCUAACUCCGUGCCAGCAGCCGCGGUAAUACGGAGGAUCCGAGCGUUAUCCGGAUUUAUUGGGUUUAAAGGGAGCGUAGGUGGAUUGAUAAGUCAGUUGUGAAAGUGUGCGGCUCAACCGUAAAAUUGCAGUUGAUACUGGCAGUCUAGAGUGCAGUAGAGGUAGGCGGAAUUCGUGGUGUAGCGGUGAAAUGCUUAGAGAUCACGAAGAACUCCGAUUGCGAAGGCAGUUCACUGGACUGCAACUGACACUGAGGCUCGAAAGUGUGGGUAUCAAACAGGAUUAGAUACCCCUGUAGUC
rnacentral:rRNA from 1 species